rnacentral:rRNA from 1 species
GACGAACGCUGGCGGCGUGCUUAACACAUGCAAGUCGAACGGUAAGGCUCCAGCUUGCUGGGGUACACGAGUGGCGAACGGGUGAGUAACACGUGGGUGACCUGCCCUGCACUUCGGGAUAAGCCUGGGAAACUGGGUCUAAUACCGGAUAGGACCUUGGUGUGGAUACUGUGGUGGAAAGUUUUUGCGGUGUGAGGUGGGCUCGCGGCCUAUCAGCUUGUUGGUGGGGUAAUGGCCGACCAAGGCGGCGACGGGUAGCCGACCUGAGAGGGUGGACGGCCACAUUGGGACUGAGACACGGCCCAGACUCCUACGGGAGGCAGCAGUGGAGAAUAUUGCACAGUGGGCGGAAGCCUGAUGCAGCGGCGCCGCGUGGGGGAUGACGGCCUUCGGGUUGUAAACACCUUUCACCAUCGACGAAGGGUUUCUGACGGUAGAUGGAGAAGAAGCACCGGCUAACUACGUG